rnacentral:rRNA from 1 species
AUUGAACGCUGGCGGCAGGCCUAACACAUGCAAGUCGAACGAGUGGCGGACGGGUGAGAAAUGUCUGGGAAACUGCCAGAUGGUGGGGGAUAACUAUUGGAAACGGUAGUUAAUACUGCAUACCAUCAGAUGUGCCCAUAUGGGUUUAGCUUGUUGGUGGGGUAACGGCUCACCAAGGCGACGCUCCCUAGCUGGUCUGAUAGGAUGAACAGCCACACUGGAACUGAGACACGGUCCAGACUCCUACGAGAGGCAGCAGUGGGGAAUAUUGCACAAUGGGCGCAAGCCUGAUGCAACCAUGCCGCGUGUAUGAAGAAGGCCUUCGGGUUGUAAAGUACUUUCAGCGGGGAGGCGUUACCCGCAGAAGAAGCACCGGAAAACUCCGUGCCAGCAGCCGCGGUAAUAC